AUGACGAUGAAGAUAAUUGGUCCGUGUUUCUGAUUUCAUGGUGACUGAUACUUUUACCAAUUCUGAUCCCC
rfam:Musa acuminata subsp. malaccensis Doubled-haploid Pahang (DH-Pahang) genomic chromosome, chr2